rnacentral:rRNA from 1 species
AUUGAACGCUGGCGGCAGGCCUAACACAUGCAAGUAGAACGCAGUUGCGAACGGGAGAGUUACGCGUAGGUAACUGCCUGGUAGCGGGGGAUAACUAUUGGAAACGCUAGCUACUACCGCAUACUACCAGAUGGAUCUGCGUUGUAUUAGCUAGUGGGUGGGGUAACGGCUCACCAAGGCAACGAUACAUAGCCGACCUGAGAGGGUGAUCGGCCACACUGGGACUGAGACACGGUCCAGACUCCUACGGGAGGCAGCAGUGGGGAAUAUUGCACAAUGGGCGAAAGCCUGAUGCAGCCAUGCCGCGUGUGUGAAGAAGGCCUUCGGGUUGUAAAGCACUUUCAGCGAGGAGGCGUUACUCGCAGAAGAAGCACCGGCUAACUCCGUGCCAGCCGCCGCGGUAAUAC